rnacentral:rRNA from 1 species
UACGUAGGGGGCGAGCGUUGUCCGGAGUUACUGGGCGUAAAGCGCACGCAGGCGGUUUCGUACGUCUGGAGUGACAGUUCCCGGCUCAACUGGGAAAGGUCUUCGGAAACGGCGAGACUUGAGGGCUUCAGAGGGACACGGAAUUCCGGGAGGAGUGGUGAAAUGCGUAGAGAUCCGGAGGAACACCAAUGGCGAAGGCAGUGUCCUGGGAAGCAUCUGACGCUCAGGUGCGAAAGCUAGGGGAGCGAACAGG